UGAAAGGGUGCUGUUGUGUUCAGACAGACUGUCCUUGCUAACGAAGUAAACAAGAUAAGAAGGCGAAGGAAUGAGAAAACAAUAGGAGCCAAAUAAGGAAUUGUGGUAAGGGGUUAAGAUCCAGUACGGACAAAUCAGGACAGGGCACGAUAGCUUAAGUAAAGGUAUAUAAGCUGUGCUUAGUAGUGAGUAGACGCCAUUUUACUGCUCAUCAUAUUGUUGUGCGUCUGCAGUCAUUUAGCCCUGAUCAGGUAAUUGGCCAGUGUGCACAAGAGAGCUAACACAGGAGGCUAACAUCACAGUUGCAGAAGGCAACAAAUGGUGCCCCGUGUGAGGCAGAAGAUUGUGUUUGAUGCCCUUUGUGCAAAUACCAGAGCUGGGGUGAUGACAGCCUGACUAGCCCGCAGCGGCAGGGAGCCCUGCAGAAGACCGAGGCGAUGGCGGUAUUGCGCACAAGUGUAGCCUGCAGCACGGAAACCUGAGGUGAUGGCAGGGCGCUUGCAGAAGACUGAGGUGAUGGUGGUAUUGAUUGCAAGUGUAGCCUGCAGACGAUUGGGGUGAUGCCCUGCAGAAGAUCGUGGUGACGACGAUAGUGCCGGCUGGCAAGUAGAACCUGUGUUGCGGUGUGGUCUGGGGAGGAUGACAGGACGCCCACGGAGACCCAUGGUGACGGCGGUCUCCCGAGGUGACAGCAAAGAGUUGACCAUGGAACAUGUUCUUAAGUUUCUUGCAGGGGCCGAGAGGAGACGGAGCCGCCAAUGACCGUUGGCGAGAUGGCACCGGCUGAGCCGACUGCACUCAGUUCAAAAGAAGACAAACAACAAGAGAGCGAAUGUUCGUUGUCUCAUCCCCCGCCCCCGUAUCCGGACCCCUCAGGCGAACGUUGAUGGUCUGUCUUUGCACAACAGCACCCUUUCACCAUGCUUAGGGAGAGGCCUAUCCCAUACAGCAUGUAUCCCCACCAACGCACCUACUACAACAAACCCUCAAACAUACUACACCUAUCACAAGAUCAGCUCUCUGUCUUCUACUAUUCUGCAGGAGAUAAUUAAAUAUACUUUUUUACUCUGUAAAUGCUACUGAUGUGUAAGCCUUAUGGUAACUGCUGCUGAUUGUCUGCAAUAAUGUUUAGUUUACGUUCUCAGCUUUAGGAAUAUCCCAUUAUCUGGGACUUUCAAAUAAAUAAACAAGAAACGUGAAAGUUAAAUAAUUUCAAAUGGAAGGUUGGCUACCAGAUUUUGUUAUUUGAAUACUAUGCAUAAGAAAAAUCUGAAGAACAGCUGAACAACAAUGCAUAUCUUAGAAUAAGAGUUUAAAGUUAUCUGGUAAGGGAAAAUGGUCGUAUGUCAGAGUUAACUGAAAAUAAAUUUUGAAAUCCCUGUGUGCUCAGCCUAGCUCUUCAUUAAUUCAGCUUCUACUCACGAAUACUUAUCUCAGACUUUCAGAUAUUCAUCAAAACUAGGUUCCAGUCACAACUACAACUAGCUUCUACAAAAUAACUAUUCCACUAGCUUCUACAGCAUAACUAUAGCACUGUUAUGUUUCAGUCUCACUUUGUAUAUAGAAUACUGUUCUCCCUCUCUCUAUAUAUAAAUGUAUCAUUUCAUAAUGCAUUGUAACAUUCCAUGCACUCUAUUAUCUGGUACUUGUUAAUAAAUUAAUUCUUAUAUGCAAAGAAGUAUGUCUUAUGUUAUUGAAAGACAAACUUUCUCAGAAUGAUAGAGAUUAUAUUCUAAAUCGAGUAAAUUAGCUUUAAUACCCCAGCAGCUAAACAAAAAUUAAUUUAGUGAGUAGCCAAUGUGCAUUAGUUAUUCUUUUGCUAUAUUAGGAUCAUAAUAACUUUUCCAGUAGUCCAGGGUAAAAUGCACUGUUGUUAAUGGUCUUCAGUACUUACUUUUGGUUUUUUAUUUUCCUAGCACUUGUGAAGAACUGUUCUUCUGAUAAAUGAUUCACUGCAAACCUAGGGGCUUGCUGUCCCUCUGUAAGAGUAAAUCAAUUUUAGAACACAGUAAAAAGUUCCUUUUGUAUUGAUUCUCUAAAUAAAAAAGAUUGUUCAAAUGUAAUCACUUAUUAGCAAGCUAUAUUUUUAUUUAUAUAUAUUUUUAAUAUAUAAAAUAGUGUGUAGUCUAUAUUUUAUAUAAAAUAGACUAUAGUCUAUAUUUUUAAUUAUAAUUAUAUAUAGUAUUAUAAUAAAUGUAAUGAAUGUAACGUAAACUAAUGUGAUGUAAUGUGAUGUAACGUAAUGUAACGUAAUAUAAUGUAAUAGCGUGAAUAAACUGCAUUCAGAAUUUGAGCUAGGUCAUGGAGGUCUAGCUUCAGUAGUUCUGCAUGCUGAAGUAUACCCAAUUGUGGAAAUCAUAGACAAAUACAUUUUGACAUUUGUGCUCUACUCAAACUCAUGGA
ensembl:lncRNA